AUUCAAUUCAACUCAUUGUAGUUUGUGUAUUCUUGGUGUAAUUGUAAGAUGGUCCCAGGAUGAAAAUAAUUUUGUGGAUUUUCUAAAUUGCUGCAGAGAUGAGAGGAUAGAAUUAAAAGAGAAGUAAUAUUUAUCUGACUGUUGAUGGUAGUUGAUUCAUACUUUAAAGGACUUCUUAGCUAACAAGAAAUAAUUGUAUGUUAGGCUAUCAGAAUUCAAUGUUUUACUAGGCUUCUUCAAUAGUAAUGAAAUUAGAAAACUAAUGUUUCAAAUGCAUUCUUUUUAUUUUUAAUGUACAUCCAAGAAAAAUACUCAGUGUUCUUUCACCUUUAUCUUCUUAUAGAGAUUUUGUGUGCUAAAAGCUUUAUUUGGGAAAAAUAACUAAUGAGGUAUUGUACAUUAAGGUGUUCUUUUUUAAAUCUCGUGGCGUGGAGAAUGAUCCUAAUCUGACUUUAGAUAAGUAUAGUCUCAGGUUGAGCUUGAGCAGAUAUAAAUAUUGAUAUUAACAAGGAGACUUUCUGUAAUACAAAUAAUUAGCAAAGAAAUAAAAAUGAACAAGCAAUGGGUCACCAUUUUUUUUGGUAAAAAAGAUAAGCAUAUUAUAGAUAGUUAAAUAGUUACAUAAGAGUUUUGGGGAUGCAUGUACUGCAUUAGAUUAGUAGCUACUAUAUUGCACAUACUUUCUUAUACUUUUCUUAAUUAAUAUUGCUAUUUACUAAUUGUGGGCAGUAUAUAUAUAUAUAUAACUUUUAAUUCAAUACAAAGGAGCCACAAUAAAAAAACUGAUUUUAUUGAGAAAUCAAGUGUGAACUAAUUAAGCCAUAUUUAGAAUAUUUGCAAUAAUUGCAAGUAACUGAAUACCAAAAUACUGUGAGUAUUAUCAUCGUUGAACUUGUUCAUAGAGUUCUUUAUUUAGAGAGUCCUAUAUUUUGAUUUAUAAAGGAAGCAUACUCAAAAUAGAUGUAGAAGAUGUGGUAAAUCAGUUUAAAUAAAUCAAAUUAUUUUAAACAUCUCAUUUAUAUAUUUUUAUUUGUGUAGAUGAAAUUUGUGCAUCGUAGAUGGAUGUAUAAUAAGAAUCAUCCUAAUCGUGCGGGUUGAUGGAUGAAUUUAUUGAAGGGGUUGCUGAAUUUAUUGCUAAGACUCAAACACUUGAUGAUUUUCUUAUUGGAGAAAGGAUUAGGUGUCUUUGUGUAAAAUGUAAAUGUGUUAAGUUAUUGGAAUCAGGCGAAGUUAAAGUCCAUCUCUACAUGAAAGGGUUUAUAGAAAAUUAUUAUAUAUGGACUGUUCACCGGGAGAAUCAUGCUAGUUUUGAUGAUACUAACUUUCAUAAUUGUUUUGGCGGUGAGGGUAGCCCCAUUUCAGAGCAUAAUGUUGAAAAUUCUCGAUACAAUAAAAUGAUGAGGGAUGCAUUUGGGACGUUUCCUGGGGUUCAAUCCAAACCAAGUGACGAGGCUAAGCGUUUCUAUGAACAGUUACGUGAAGCUAGUCGUCCAUUGUAUGAAGGUUUGGUGCAUUCCAAGUUGUCUGCGGUUAGAUUGUUAAGUAUUAAAUCAGAUAGUUCUAUUUUUCAAGCGGGCAUGGAUUCUAUUAUUGGGCUUAUGAAUGAACUUAACCUGAGUAAAAUUGACUUACCAAAAGAUUUUUACACUGCUAAAAAAUUGGUUUCUAAGUUGGGUCUUUCAUCAGAGAGAAUUGAUUGUUGUGAGAAAGGUUGCAUGCUAUUCUAUAAGGAUAACGCAUCUCUAGAGAACUAUAAAUUUUGUAAUUAGCCUCGUUUUAAGGAAGUCACAAAUUCCAAUACAAAAAAGAAAGUUCCAGUUAAAGCGAUGCAUUACUUAUCUCUUAUACCUAGGUUAAAGAGGUUGUAUGCAUCAAUAAGCUCUGCUCCUCAUAUGAGAUGACACUACGAACAUAGAAGGCCACCUGGUAUACUCUGCCAUCCGUCAGAUGGAGAAGCGUGGAAGCAUAUUUAUAGGGUGUUCCCCGAGUUUUCUUGUGAAUCAAAAAACAUUAGGUUGGGAUUAUGCGUAGAUGGAUUUACUCCAUUUGCUGUCUCUGUUGCACCAUAGUCAUGUUGGCCGGUGUUUGUUACUCCAUAUAAUCUUCUGCCAGAGUUGUGCAUGAAAAGUCCAUAUCUGUUCCUAACUUGUAUUGUUCCAGAUCCACGCAAUCCGAAAAGUUUGAUUGAUGUAUACUUGCAGCCUUUGAUUGAUGAGUUACAAUUAUUAUGGCAUCAAGGUGUGGAAACAUAUAAUAUAUCAACCAAACAAAACUUCAAAUUGCAUGCUGCUUUGAUGUAGACUAUAAAUGAUUUUCCUACUUAUGGAAUGCUGUCUGGGUGGUCGACUGCUGGAAAGUUAGCUUGCCCUUGUUGUAUGGAAGACACUAAAGCAUUUACUUUGAAACAUGGAGGUAAAAAUACAUGGUUCGACUGCCACCGUAGAUUCUUUCCAAUGAAUCCUAAAUUUAGGCGAAAUACAAGUACAUUUCUGAAGAACCGAACUGAUUUUGAGGAGCCACCGUCCUGCUUGUGUUUAGAAGAAAUUUGGAACAGAGUAAGGGAUAUGCCUAAAGUAACAGAGUCUCCACCAUCUAAGAUACCAGGUUAUGGUGUCACACACAACUGGACUAAGCGGAGCAUAUUUUUGGAAUUACCUUAUUGGAAGCACAAUCUUCUUCGGCAUAAUUUGGACGUCAUGCAUAUCGAGAAGGAUUUUUUUGACAACUUGUUUAACAAUAUUAUGGAUGUUACUAACAAGACGAAAGAUAAACUUGAAGGACAUGAUGGACUUAAAAGAAUAUUGUAGGCGAAAUGAGUUGUAUCUAACAUACUUUAACAACAAGAUACAGAAGCCCAAAGACAGUUACACGUUCAAAUUGGAGGAGAGAAGAGAGAUUUGUAGUUGGGUUAACAGUUUGAGGAUGCCUGAUGGGUACGCAUCAAAUUUAUACAGGUGUGUUGACAUGAAAGAUUGUAUGUUGGCGUCAAUGAAAAGCCACGAUUGUCAUAUUUUCAUGGAAGCGCUAAUGCCUAUUGCGUUUAAUGAGUCAAGUUUUUGGCCUUAUCUUGCAGGUGACGACGUCGUCGAGUUGACGACAGAGAAAGACUCAAUUGCAUGAUCGAAUAUGGAAACCGAUUACAGAGAUAAGUUUUUUUUUCAAGGAUUUAUGUUCUAGCACAUUGAGGGUGGAGAACUUACUUUAUAUGGAGAGUAACAUUAUCUUAACUUUAAACAAGUUGGCAAAAAUUUUUCCUCUUGGUUUUUUUUGAUGUAAUGGAACAUCUUCCAAUUCACCUUGUACAAGAGGCAAGGCUUGGAGGUCCAGUUCAAUGUAGAUGGAUGUAUCCCUUCGAGAGGUAAUGAAAUUUAAUCAUUUACCUUUUGUGUUUGCUUUAAAGGCUGUUUUGUCUAAAAAUAACACUAUGCAGGACUAUUGUCGAAUGUAAACGGACCAGAAAAAUAGAUCGAAUUGAAGGUUCGAUAUGCGAGGCAUAUGUGGCUAAAGAAACAUCUUAUUUAUGUUCAUACUAUCUUGAACAUGUUGUGCCAUGUUUGAGAAAUCGACCGAAUCAGCAUGAUGAUGGAGGCGAAAUCGAUCCUUUGGCACCACCCUUUUUCAUUUUUAAUCAACUAGGUAAAGGAGGUCCAAAAAAUAGUCUAAAGCGAAGGUUGUAUGAGAUGGAGCUAAAGUCAGCUACAACACAUGUAUUGUUAAAUUGCCUGAGGUCCAUCCUUAUUAUAGGUAAGUAUAUAUUCGUAUAUAUUACGGACUUUUGUAUUAAAUAUACCACUAACUUAUCUAAUAAAUAUUAUAAUGGCAGUUACUUUGUGGGUACAUAUGAGCAAGAUGUUGUUUAUCCCAAGUUUUCAUAGUGGUUUAAAGAAUUUGUAAGUAUUACUUAUUAUUUAACAUGAUUUUUAUUAUAUAAAAUUAAUUAUAUAUUUGUAAAAUUCUAAAACAUAUAUAAUCUCUUAUACCUAGGUUAAAGAGGUUGUAUGCAUCAAUAAGCUCUGCUCCUCAUAUGAGAUGACACUACGAACAUAGAAGGCCACCUGGUAUACUCUGCCAUCCGUCAGAUGGAGAAGCGUGGAAGCAUAUUUAUAGGGUGUUCCCCGAGUUUUCUUGUGAAUCAAAAAACAUUAGGUUGGGAUUAUGCGUACCUGACCCUAGAGUAAGAAUAAUGUCUAAAUACGUGGUCAAUGGUUACAAGUUUCAUACAAAAGAAUGGUCUAAUGGAAAGUAAACUAACAAUAGUGGGGUGUGGGUGAAAGGUGAGGGAGAUGUUGAUUAUUAUGGUGUGCUUCAAGAGAUUUUGGAAUUGGAAUAUGUUGUAGGUUAGCCGAAGAAAAAGUUGGUACUCUUUCGAUGUAAAUGGUAUGAUCCAACACCGAAUAGACGUAAAAAGGUGCACGCUCAAUACAACAUAGUUGAAAUUAAACACACGGGGCAAUAUAGACUUUAUGAUCCCUUUAUCAUUGCACAAAAGGUGAAACAAGCAUAUUAUGCUCCUUAUCCUUUGAGCAAGAAUAAGUCUGCAUGGCGGGUAGUUUUGAAAACAAAGCCUGUAGGUAGAGUGGUAGUCAAAGAUGCUUUAGAUGUGGCGUACCAGAAUGACAUUUCAAAUGUUGAAUCAAUAGUGGAUGAUGAAUUAGCAGAUGAAUUGCAGCAUAAUGAAAGGAUUUAUGAGAAUUUGAUCCUUCUGUCCUUGCUACAAAUGAGGACGAAGAUAGAGGUGUAGAACAUGAAACAAGUGAUGAGGAAGACUUACAAGAUGAAAGUGAAACAGGAGAUGAUGAAGACUUAGAUGAUUACUAUGAAGAUAGAGAUGAAGAUUAAUUUGUUAUUCUUAUAUGGUUACAAAUGAGGACGAAGAUAGAGGUGUCUGUAUUCUGGAGCUGCAAAUUUAUGGUCUUUAAUAUCUUUAUUUGUUUUUACUUCAUUAACUUCAUAAGAAGAAUUACUACUACUUUCUCUUACCUCAAGUUAUGCAAAAUCUGAGUUAGUUUAUACCCUUUUACCAUUAUACAACCUACUAUUUAUCUAAAGAGAGCCACAUUAAACGAAAAUAGGCUCAUAAUUCUGGUAAAUUUUCUCACUUGUGACUAAGGAAAAUGAAAAAAGAAGAGAAAUGGUAAAAUCCUAAGGCAACUUGUGGUUUUCCUGUGUACAUUUGAAUAUCACGAUAUUCUACUUACUUUUCUUUGUCGUUUUCCAGAAAGUGAUGCUCCAAACUACACAUUGACCGCGUGGUUUUUUCACUCUUUGAUGAAAUUAGUACUUAUUAGUUUUUAUCUUUUCCACAAGAAUAACUUAGUAGUCUUUGUGUAUGGUAUCAGUAUUUAUCUUAGUUCUUGUAAUUUAGUCAACUUAGUAAUCUUAUGUGAACUUUGCGGCUGGCUAUGAGCUUGUAUUCUCAUUUUAUAAUUCGUUUGCAAUAUUUUAGUUUUCAUUCUGAUUUAGUUCUCUCGAAUUUCAAUUGUUUCUUUUGGGUAAAGUCUUGUUAAUGUAUUUUUUAAAUCUUCUAUAAGAUAUGAUGCAUUAUAAAAUGAAAGCAGAAGUGUGUUGUUUAUAUUUCCCGACUACCUUAUCUCUGGCACUUUAAAAAACAUUAAUGCAAUUUUAAUUGUUGCACACCUACUUUCCUCUUCUAAUUUCCCUUGGCAUUGUGGAAAAAUAAUUGGUACUUCAGAAAGAGAAAAAAACCCAGAGACAAGGGUUUGUAAUUCUAUAGUUGCUUCUGCAAGCUAUGACAAAGGUUGGAACUUGGAAACAAACAAAGUUGCUGGAAAUAAUAACCCUAUAAGAAUAAAUUUAUAUGUCAUUAUAAAAAAGGAUUGUAAGAUCAUAACUGCAUAGUCGACUGGU
rnacentral:lncRNA from 1 species